UGGUGGAGUGAUUUGUCUGGUUAAUUCCGUUAACGAACGAGACCUCGACCUGCUAAAUAGAUCGGCGAAUCCUUUUGGAUUCGUGCGGUGCUUCUUAGAGGGACUAUCAGCUGGUCUAACCUGAUGGAAGUUCGAGGCAAUAACA
rnacentral:rRNA from 1 species